UGGGGAAUAUUGGACAAUGGGCGCAAGCCUGAUCCAGCCAUGCCGCGUGAGUGAUGAAGGCCCUAGGGUUGUAAAGCUCUUUCGCCAGGGACGAUAAUGACGGUACCUGGAUAAGAAGCCCCGGCUAACUUCGUGCCAGCAGCCGCGGUAAUACGAAGGGGGCUAGCGUUGUUCGGAAUCACUGGGCGUAAAGCGCACGUAGGCGGAUCUUUAAAGUCAGGGGUGAAAUCCCGAGGCUCAACCUCGGAACUGCCUUUGAUACUGGAGGCCUCGAGUCCGGGAGAGGUGAGUGGAACUGCGAGUGUAGAGGUGAAAUUCGUAGAUAUUCGCAAAGAACACCAGUGGCGAAGGCGGCUCACUGGCCCGGUACUGACGCUGAGGUGCGAAAAGCGUGGGGAGCAAAACAGGAUUAGAUACCCUGGUAGUCCACGCCGUAAAACUAUGGAUGCUAGCCGUUGGGCAGCUUGCUGUUCAGUGGCGCAGCUAACGCUUUAAGCACCCGCCUGGGGGAGUACGGUCGC
rnacentral:rRNA from 1 species